ACGGCGUCCCAAGCCCGGCUCACAGGCCAGGCUCAGCUGGCACAGCCCCCAGAACAGGACCGGACUUGGAGUCCUCAUUCCUGUCUCGGUGUGUCAGGGCCACAGCGGUGGGUGGGGCUGUCUGGGGGAGCACCGUGGCACCGAGCUGGUCCACUCCUGCCUCUCUAGCUGCCAGGCUCUGGGGCGGGGCCGUGGGCCUGCUGUCACAGAUGUGGACGCACAGUCCCUGCCCGGCCACAGCACGGUAGCCGUGGACCCAGGAGCCUCUGCCUGGUCUGCCCCACUGCCAGGUCCUUGGGCCAUGGGACCUGCUCUCUCUACUGACCAGGUGUCGGUGGAGCAUUGACUCCCCGCCCCUUCCCGCUGUGUGAGCUCCCUGGGGGCCUCAGCCUCCCUGGCUAUGCUUCCCACCAGCUUGGGCAGUGAUGGUCCCGAGCCCAGGUUCUGGAGUGGGGCUUGGCACUGGCAUUUUAAAAUCCCUGCACGUGACUGUGGCUGACAGCCGGGGUUGAGGACUGCCAGUCCCAUGGAAGAAUGCAGGCUCUGGGGCCGUCCCGACAGGCAGCAGCACCCCUCUCUGGGGCAAGGCCUCUGCAGGCUGAUGGCUGCCCUCCCAUGUCUCAGGCCACCAAGGUGUGUGGCAGGGUGGGCCUGGGCCUCCAGCCUGGCCCCGGGCGCUGGGGAGGGCAGCAGUGGCUCUGUCUCGGGGCAGCACACCCAACCAUGAGUGCCGGCCUUGUGCUGGUGGACCUGGAAGCCCGGCCCUGACUGUGCCCACAGGGUGGCAAAGGGACGGGGGUG
rnacentral:lncRNA from 1 species